GGGCCGGUAGCUCAGCUGGUAGAGCACGGGUCUUUUAAGCCUGGGGUCGUGGGUUCGAGCCCCACCCGGCUCACCA
rnacentral:tRNA from 1 species